UACGUAGGGUGCAGGCGUUAAUCGGAAUUACUGGGCGUAAAGCGUGCGCAGGCGGUUAUGCAAGACAGAUGUGAAAUCCCCGGGCUUAACCUGGGAACUGCAUUUGUGACUGCAUAGCUGGAGUACGGUAGAGGGGGAUGGAAUUCCGCGUGUAGCAGUGAAAUGCGUAGAUAUGCGGAGGAACACCGAUGGCGAAGGCAGUCCCCUGGACCUGUACUGACGCUCAUGCACGAAAGCGUGGGGAGCAAACAGG
rnacentral:rRNA from 1 species